rnacentral:rRNA from 1 species
UGGGGAAUCUUGCACAAUGGGGGAAACCCUGAUGCAGCGACGCCGCGUGAACGAUGAAGCCCUUCGGGGUGUAAAGUUCUUUCGACAGGAACGAUAAUGACGGUACCUGAAGAAGAAGCUGCGGCUAACUACGUGCCAGCAGCCGCGGUAAUACGUAGGCAGCGAGCGUUGUUCGGAGUUACUGGGCGUAAAGAGUGCGUAGGCGGCGAGCCAAGUUUGGUGUGAAAUCUCCCGGCUUAACCGGGAGGGUGCGCCGAAAACUGGUUGGCUGGAGUAUGGGAGAGGAAAGCGGAAUUCCUGGUGUAGCGGUGAAAUGCGUAGAUAUCAGGAGGAACACCUGCGGUGUAGACAGCUUUCUGGACCAAAACUGACGCUGAGGCACGAAAGCGUGGGUAGCAAACA